rnacentral:lncRNA from 1 species
CUACAAUUUCCCUCUAUUCUCUCUCCAAAUUCGAGGCUCAGAGGGGUUCUAUCGAUCAAUUAAAAUUAAGGCUUUUAUUCUUUCGGCUUCAGUUUAUUCUUCAAUUUUUUAAUGUUUCUUUGAUUUUCUAUUUAUGAAGGUUUGAAUUUUAGAGGAAAUGGAGUAUGUGGGGAGAAAGGUGAAGAAAGAGUUUGAAGGGCAUGGUACAUUCUUCGGUUCUGUUGAAUCGUACGACGCUUCAACUAGGUUUUUCAAGAUCGUGUACGAGGACGGCGAUUCCGAGGAAUUGGACUUGACUGAAAUUAGUUCUCUAUUGGUGUCUUCAGAGGGACUGGAGUCGGCUCGGGAAGCGCAGCCAUCCUCCGCGGAGGAGCCCACCAGAAGGCUUGUUCGCAAGCGGAGGAAGCGGAGCCAUAUGAAUACAGGUAAAAUUGGUAUUUCAGUAAUAGAGAGUGGCGUUUCUGGUAAUUCUGGGGACAUGGAAUUAAAUGCGGUUGGUUUGAAUUUGAAUGAAGGGUUGGAUUUAAAUGAUGAUGGGUUUAAUAAUUUAAAUGAUGAUUAUGAGGGGACUUUGGGUAAUAAUUGUGAUGUUGGUGGGGCUAAGCUGCAAGGUGUGAAUUUGAAUGAAGCUGUGAAUUUGGAAUCGAGGGAUGAGGGCAUGGCUUUAAGUGAAAGGGUUUCAGAUGAUAGGUUGGGGAAAAGAAAAGAAUUAAUUGAUUUAAAUUUGGAUGUAAAUGAAGAUUCUGAGAAUUUCAGU